AGGGAACAUGCCACAGUGUUAGAGAGAUUGACGCAGCAAGAGCAUUUACAUAGUGUGCAAAAUCUGCUUUUCCUUAACUAAUGUCAUUGCCAGCCAGUCAACACCAGGUUUGUUCCCCUAUAUCCCUCUUAAGUUGCCAUACUUAAGCAAGAACAUGUGAAGAGCAGUUUUUUAGCACUGGGCCUAUUGCAUGGGCAUGUCCCUGGAGCUGCAGCUCCAUCAGCC